rnacentral:ncRNA from 1 species
UGAAGAAAGAGAUCGACGCCCUCUGGGCAAACGACACCUGGGAAGCAGUCUACUAACCCUUACCCUAACCCACUGUUUGCCGAGAUGGCAGCCGGUUAAUACUCCGGCACCUGGGUAAGGGUUUUCGCGGUAACGCAUUUGCAAGUUGAAACAUUGGCAGGGGCCUGAGAAGAGAUAUCUUUUCUUCUUAACAGUCUAUCACCCUGGAAUCAGUUUGUCUGGAAAUAGGGUUUAAUGGCUGGAACAGCUCCACAUUUUUGUGAGGUCCGGUGUGCUCCUGACGAUCCUUGAAAAUCAACUGGAUGCUCAACCUCUUGCCAGGUCGUUCUCAUAACCGCAGCAGGUCUCCGGGGUGAAUAGCCUCC